AGGGUGGGGGACAGGGGCAAGGGCAGAGCUGCUCUGCAGUGGCACUGACCCAGCCCCUGUGUCCCCAG
rnacentral:miRNA from 1 species